AGAAAAUGGCCGCUGGAGCACUCUUGGAAGCAGAGAUGCACCCAGGAUGUAUUUGAGUGGCAGAUUCGGCAGCAAAAACCUUUCAAUAAGAUCAGGAUGCCACCAAAAUUAAGACUUAAGACAGACAGAGAUCGAGGCAGGAUUACAACAAUAACCAGUCCCACAUCCACCCACCCACACAGCGUGUGUCUAAAUAUGCAACUUGUGCAUGGAAACAUGGAAGUUGAAUAGGCUUCAUUGAUGGAGAAGAAAGAAAUAAAUCUAUGAUGACAUUCUUGAAAUGAUUUUCUACAACUAAGAAAAAGAAAAUAUACUGAUGUUGGAAGAGCAUCUCCAGAGAUUACUACAGUUGAAUAAAAUGAUCCUAGAUUGUUUGAUUGAAAUGUUCACUUUAUCAUCAAUCAUAAUCAUCAUCCUGGAACUACAAGAUAAUGUUAAUCCACACUUUGGUGUGUUCUUUAAAAUAGUAGUGAUUUAGUUAGAAAUGACUGCUAGCACUCUUGAAUGUUCAAGGAAACACAUCAGGAAUUGUGGGACAAUGACUGGUUAAGUUUGACGCAUCAGCAACUACUAUUUUAAUCACCAUCAUCAGUUUUGUUUUCCUGCAUUGAUAUACACAGUAAAAAAAAGUA